CACAGUUGUCUAUGUAAGAAGAGACAAUGGAUCUGGUUGUGGUUCUGCUGCUCUGUCUCUCUUGUUUGCUUCUCCUUUCACUCUGGAAACAGAGCUCCAGGAAAGGGAGGCUCCCACCUGGCCCCACUCCUCUCCCUAUUAUUGGAAAUAUCCUGCAGUUAGAUGUCAAGGACAUCAGCAAAUCCUUAAGUAAACUCUCAAAAGUCUAUGGCCCUGUGUUCACUCUGUAUUUGGGCUUGAAGCCCACCGUGGUCUUGCAUGGAUAUGAAGCAGUGAAGGAAGCCCUUAUUGAUCAGGGGGAGGAGUUUUCUGGAAGAGGCAGUUUUCCAGUGGCUG